rnacentral:rRNA from 1 species
AUGAACGCUAGCUACAGGCUUAACACAUGCAAGUCGAGGGGCAGCAUGGUCUUAGCUUGCUAAGGCCGAUGGCGACCGGCGCACGGGUGAGUAACACGUAUCCAACCUGCCGUCUACUCUUGGACAGCCUUCUGAAAGGAAGAUUAAUACAAGAUGGCAUCAUGAGUCCGCAUGUUCACAUGAUUAAAGGUAUUCCGGUAGACGAUGGGGAUGCGUUCCAUUAGAUAGUAGGCGGGGUAACGGCCCACCUAGUCUUCGAUGGAUAGGGGUUCUGAGAGGAAGGUCCCCCACAUUGGAACUGAGACACGGUCCAAACUCCUACGGGAGGCAGCAGUGAGGAAUAUUGGUCAAUGGGCGAGAGCCUGAACCAGCCAAGUAGCGUGAAGGAUGACUGCCCUAUGGGUUGUAAACUUCUUUUAUAAAGGAAUAAAGUCGGGUAUGCAUACCCGUUUGCAUGUACUUUAUGAAUAAGGAUCGGCUAACUCCGUGCCAGCAGCCGCGGUAAUACGGAGGAUCCGAGCGUUAUCCGGAUUUAUUGGGUUUAAAGGGAGCGUAGAUGGAUGUUUAAGUCAGUUGUGAAAGUUUGCGGCUCAACCGUAAAAUUGCAGUUGAUACUGGAUAUCUUGAGUGCAGUUGAGGCAGGCGGAAUUCGUGGUGUAGCGGUGAAAUGCUUAGAUAUCACGAAGAACUCCGAUUGCGAAGGCAGCCUGCUAAGCUGCAACUGACAUUGAGGCUCGAAAGUGUGGGUAUUAAUCAGUAUGAGAUACCCUGGUAGUCCACACGGUAAACGAUGAAUACUCGCUGUUUGCGAUAUACAGCAAGCGGCCAAGCGAAAGCGUUAAGUAUUCCACCUGGGGAGUACGCCGGCAACGGUGAAACUCAAAGGAAUUGACGGGGGCCCGCACAAGCGGAGGAACAUGUGGUUUAAUUCGAUGAUACGCGAGGAACCUUACCCGGGCUUAAAUUGCAGAUGAAUUACGGUGAAAGCCGUAAGCCGCAAGGCAUCUGUGAAGGUGCUGCAUGGUUGUCGUCAGCUCGUGCCGUGAGGUGUCGGCUUAAGUGCCAUAACGAGCGCAACCCUUGUUGUCAGUUACUAACAGGUUCUGCUGAGGACUCUGACAAGACUGCCAUCGUAAGAUGUGAGGAAGGUGGGGAUGACGUCAAAUCAGCACGGCCCUUACGUCCGGGGCUACACACGUGUUACAAUGGGGGGUACAGAGGGCCGCUACUACGCGAGUGGAUGCCAAUCCCAAAAACCUCUCUCAGUUCGGACUGGAGUCUGCAACCCGACUCCACGAAGCUGGAUUCGCUAGUAAUCGCGCAUCAGCCACGGCGCGGUGAAUACGUUCCCGGGCCUUGUACACACCGCCCGUCAAGCCAUGGGAGCCGGGGGUACCUGAAGUGCGUAACCGCGAGGAGCGCCCUAGGGUAAAACUGGUGACUGGGGCU